rnacentral:misc_RNA from 1 species
GAUGAAGAACGUAGCGAAAUGCGAUAAGUAAUGCGAAUUGCAGAAUUCCGUGAAUCAUCGAAUCUUUGAACGCACCUUGCGCCCUUUGGACAUUCCGAAGGGCAUGCCUGUUUGAGUAUCAUGAACACCUCAACUCUCACGGCUUGUCCGUGAUGAGCUUGGACUUUGGGGGUCUUGCCGGCCUGUGGUCGGCUCCUCUCAAAUGGAUCAGCUUGCCAGUGUUUGGUGGCAUCACAGGUGUGAUAACUAUCUGCGCUUGUGGUUUUCCAUCAGAUAACCUUCAGUGAUAUGGAGGUUCGCUGGAGCUCACAAAUGUCUCUCCUUAGUGAGGACAACUCUUUGAACGUUUGAUCUCAAAUCAGGUAGGACUACCCGCUGAACUUAAGCAUAUCAAUAAGCGGAGGA